rnacentral:ncRNA from 1 species
ACCCCCGUGAGAAUGCCCUAACAGUUCCCUUAUUCAGGGGACAAGGAGCUGGUAUCAGGCACUAUAUAUUAAGCCCACAACACCUUGCUUAGCCACACCUCCAAAGGAAUUCAGCAGUGACAGACAUUAAGACUAUAAGUGAAAACUUGACUUAGCCAUGGUUAACAGGGCCGGUAAAUCUCGUGCCAGCCACCGCGGUUAUACGAGAAGGCCCAAGUUGAUGCACGUCGGCGUAAAGGGUGGUUAAAAUAACAAAAUACACUAAAGCCGAACGCUUUCAAGACUGUUAUACGUUUACGAAAGUAAGAAGCUCAACUACAAAAGUGGCUUUAUAACAUUUGACUCCACGAAAGCUGGGAAACAAACUGGGAUUAGAUACCCCACUAUGCUCAGCCAUAAACCUCGAUGUUUACUACAUACAUCAUCCGCCAGGGUACUACGAGCACUAGCUUAAAACCCAAAGGACUUGGCGGUGCUUUAGACCCACCUAGAGGAGCCUGUUUCAGAAUCGAUAAUCCCCGUUAAACCUCACCCCUUUUUGUUUCUUCCGCCUGUAUACCGCCGUCGUCAAUCUACCCUGUGAAGGGUCAAUAGUGGAUAAAAUUAGCACAGCUCAGAACGUCAGGUCAAGGUGCAGCAUAUGAAGGGGGAAGAAAUGGGCUACAUUUCCUACUAAGGAAAAACGAAAAAUAAGAUGAAAUGCUUACUAGAAGGAGGAUUUAGCAGUAAAUAGAAAAUAGAGUGUUCUACUGAAGCAGGCCCUGAAGCGCGCACACACCGCCCGUCACUCUCCCCAAGCUAACAUCCAAUAUAAAUAAAACUAACACCAGCAAAGGGGAGGCAAGUCGUAACAUGGUAAGUGUACCGGAAGGUGCACUUGGACAAU